GAACUCUUUCUUGCCAUACAAGGGCUGAGAAAAGAAAACAGAAAACAUGAGAAGGACAUGAGGGAAAAUCUGAAGAAAGAAAACUUCUCAACGACACAAUGAACAGAAACCAGAGCUUUUGAAUACAGAUUUCUGGUAAUAGCAAACCCAGCUUGGAUCAGAUGCGUCUACCCAGCAGCCACCAUCUCAGCAACAACAUGCCAGCUGCUGGCUGGAAGUCCAGCUGCAGAGGGACUUCAGCCCCUUCUCAGAGGAGCACUGUCCUGGCACCAAGAGCACCUGCAGUGGGGGCCACGUGUGGCUGCUUCAUGGAGAAGGCAGGAAAAGAAGAAUGUGCACAGUCUGGGGAUGGCAACUUCUCAUUGAUUACAAAGGCACUGUGGCAACUUCUGCCCACUGACAGAAGGAUCACCACCUCUUCCAGAGGACAUGGGACACCAUCUCUAGUGUGUCAGAUGCAGCUGAAGGGAGACCACCC
rnacentral:lncRNA from 13 species